rnacentral:tRNA from 1 species
GGGGCUGUGGGGUAGCUUGGCUCAUCCUUUCUGGUUUGGGACCAGACGACCCCGGUUCAAAGAGUCAGACUGUAUUCAGGUUUGUUUGAAAAUCCGGGCAGCCCCA